rnacentral:lncRNA from 1 species
AGGGAUUGCUUUUGGCAUCUUAUGGUCUCAUAUUAUUUAAUAAAAAGGAGAGGUAGAGGUUAUAAUAUGUUUGUCAUCUGGAGACAAAAUAGAGGGUUCUAAUGAUAUCAAGAAAAAGAUUCCUCCCUCUUUUGCUUUUUUCCUUCUGUUUCCUUUAUUCAUUAUUUGGCAAACAGGGGUCUGGGGGGAAGACAGGUGGAUAGAGUUAUUGUGUUAUGGGUUUCUGUAUCUUCUUCAACUGUUACAUUUGGAAGAAGAUAUAUCUGUAAUUUGUUCCAAGCAUAGUUGUCAAAGGCGCAAAAAGGCGCGUGCCUUGGCGCAAGGCGCGGCGCGGUGCAACUUUGGCGCCUCGC